rnacentral:misc_RNA from 1 species
GAUGAAGAACGCAGCGAAAUGCGAUAAGUAGUGUGAAUUGCAGAAUUCAGUGAAUCAUCGAAUCUUUGAACGCACAUUGCGCCCUUUGGUAUUCCUUAGGGCAUGCCUGUUCGAGCGUCAUUUAAACCUUCAAGCUCAGCUUGGUGAUGGGUGACUGUCCUCCCCUCGCGGGGGGACUCGCCUCAAAAACAUUGGCGGCCGGUACAUUGGCUUCGAGCGCAGCAGAAACGCGGUCUCGAGCCCGGUGGAUCGGCUCCCAUAAGUCUAUUCUUUUAUUUUGACCUCGGAUCAGGUAGGGAUACCCGCUGAACUUAAGCAUAUCAAUAAGCGAGGA